rnacentral:rRNA from 1 species
CAGUAGCCACGGUAAUACGAAGGGGGCUAGCGUUGUUCGGAUUUACUGGGCGUAAAGCGCACGUAGGCGGAUCGAUCAGUCAGGGGUGAAAUCCUGGAGCUCAACUCCAGAACUGCCUUUGAUACUGUCGAUCUCGAGUCCUGAAGAGGUGAGUGGAACUCCUAGUGUAGAGGUGGAAUUCGUAGAUAUUAGGAAGAACACCAGUGGCGAAGGCGGCUCACUGGUCCGAUACUGACGCUGAGGUGCGAAAGCGUGGGGAGCAAACAGGACUAGAUACCCCUGUAGUCCCUGUCUCUUAUAC